rnacentral:piRNA from 1 species
UGAGAUGAUGGGCUUGGGAAACGGGC